UACCCAAGUUCCAUGUAUCCAUCCUUGUG
rnacentral:piRNA from 1 species